rnacentral:misc_RNA from 1 species
CCAUUUCAAAUCCCCUCCUGAUGCCCCAGGGGCUUUUACAGCAUCUUUUCCAUUAAUUUGAUUUCCAAUUUUAUAGUGCACUGAGUCAUGAUAAGAGGUACGGAGGAGUCGAAUGGAAUGAACUUUGCAUUCUGUUGUUGAUUCCUCACAUACAGUGGGGGGAACUAAACACAAGGUGCAGACUUCCUGCUAAAAGUCUCAGAAUAGCUGUUGACUGAGUUGGAACCAAUUACAA